rnacentral:rRNA from 1 species
UACGAGGGGUGCAAGCGUUGCUCGGAAUUAUUGGGCGUAAAGGGUAGGUAGGUGGUCUCAUUUGUCUGGGGUGAAAUCCUUGAGCUUUAACUCAAGAAGUGCCCCAGAAACGGUGAGACUGGAGUCUUGGAGAGGGUCGUGGAAUUCCCGGUGUAGCGGUGAAAUGCGUAGAGAUCGGGAGGAACACCAGCGGCGAAGGCGGCGACCUGGACAAGUACUGACACUCAACUACGAAAGCGUGGGAGCAAACAGG